UACGUAGGGGGCAAGCGUUGUCCGGAUUUAUUGGGCGUAAAGAGCGUGUAGGCGGCCAGACAGGUCCGUUGUGAAAACUCGAGGCUCAACCUCGAGACGCCGAUGGAAACCGUCUGGCUAGAGUCCGGAAGAGGAGAGUGGAAUUCCCGGUGUAGCGGUGAAAUGCGCAGAUAUCGGGAAGAACACCAAAGGCGAAGGCAGCGUCCUGGCUCGUAUCUGACGCUCAUGUGCGAAAGCUAGGGGAGCGAACGGG
rnacentral:rRNA from 1 species